rnacentral:sRNA from 1 species
GGUGGCAGCCACAAUUACAAUUUGACAGGCGACUACAAUUAUCUUUAGAUUAUUGUAAAAACUAGCUGCUAACCUAUACAAUUGUACAAAACCCGUCACGCCCAUUUAUUGCCUGCACGUAUGCAUUUUGCUCAAGCGUAAACAGUCCGUUUUUUUUAUACUGUCUCGAAAGUAUUUUUAUACCUUUCAUAUCUCAAGCUUUGAUGCUUUGAGGCCUGUGAACAAUAUAUGUUCUCAUGAUGUCAAGGAUAUAAAACUUUGUUGGUUUAGUCCUUGCCUAUUUUAUUCAACUAACAUUUUGAUACUCAAUCUAUGCGAAUUUGGAAAGAAGAAAUUCAGCGAAACACAUUUGCCCUGGAGGUAAGGGUUAUUUGUUUUUGACCAGGCGUCUGAUAUUUGCUAUGGCUGGUACCCUGAUGGCUUACAAGCUGUAGCUAAUUAGCCAAAUUAGUGGCUUUGAGGUGCAAAAGAGCAUUUGUAGUCGCUGUUUUGGAUCCUCUAAGAGCAUUUUCUUAUAGUACAGCCACUUAUAAUCAUAUUGCAUAUUUUAUGAGGCUGUCAACGGUAGCCAUGCAAUUUGCACAAAGAUUGUAAACAGA